GGGAAAUUGAAUUCCGAACUCUGUGUUAUUAACCCUAAUUCACACUAUAUUACAGGGAAAUUGCAUGCAGAACUAAAAUAUGGCACUUUCGAUUAUGUAAAUCGAUUGCUAUUUAUUACAUACACCCCAAAGUGCUUAUGCUAUUCUUGUGGACAGUUCCCAAACGUGGGACAACAGGGAACUAAGGUGGGACAGAACCUAAAAACAGGAGUAGCCCGCCAAACGCUUGAGAGGUGGGAGGCUUGUUGAUGAUGUAACAAUUCCCUGAAAAAUGUUAUUUGUAUCGCAAAAUGACUGAUCAAACAUCUUUUGAUCUCUAAAGUAGAUGGGCGUGCAUUUGUGUGCUGAAAAGUUUCUCAACUCUCCGUCUUUUCAUCUACAGAAAAAAGUAAAAAAUUAACACUUAGUUUCAUGACGUAAUGCCC